GCUACGGGUGGCAGCAGUGGGGAAUAUUGCACAAUGGGGGAAACCCUGAUGCAGCGACGCCGCGUGAGCGAAGAAGUAUUUCGGUAUGUAAAGCUCUAUCAGCAGGGAAGAAAAUGACGGUACCUGAGUAAGAAGCUCCGGCUAAAUACGUGCCAGCAGCCGCGUUAAUAGGUAUGGAGCACGCGUUAUCCGGAUUUACUGGGCGUAAAGGGAGCGUAGGCGGCCUGCCAAGUCUGAUGUGAAAUACCGGGGCUCAACCCCGGGGCUGCAUUGGAAACUGGCAGGCUGGAGUGCCGGUGAGGCAGGCGGAAGUCCUAGUGUAGCGGGUAAAUGCGUAGAGAUUAGGAGGAACACCGGCGGCGAAGGCGGCUUACUGGACUGUAACUGACGUUGAGGCUCGAAGGCGUGGGGAGCAAACAGGAUUAGAUACCCCAGUAGUC
rnacentral:rRNA from 1 species